CAAUAACUAUGAUGGUCAAAGCUCAUGGAUAUUGCAGGUCUUUUGAUGUGCAAUUCUCCAAAGCU
rnacentral:sRNA from 1 species